rnacentral:rRNA from 1 species
GCGCGUAAAUUGCCCGAAUCCUGACACAGGGAGGUAGUGACCAAAAAUAACAAUACAGGGCCUUUUAGGUCUUGUAAUUGGAAUGAGUACAAUUUACAUCUCUUCACGAGGAUCAAUUGGAGGGCAAGUCUGGUGCCAGCAGCCGCGGUAUUUCCAGCUCCAAUAGCGUAUAUUAAAGUUGUUGCAGUUAAAACGCUCGUAGUCGGAUUUCGGGGCGGGCCGGCCGGUCUGCCGAUGGGUAUGCACUGGUUGGCGCGUCCUUCCUCCCGGAGACCGCGCCUACUCUUAACUGAGCGGGCGAGGGAGACGGGACGUUUACUUUGAAAAAAUCAGAGUGUUUCAAGCAGGCAGUCGCUCUUGCAUGGAUUAGCAUGGGAUAAUGAAAUAGGACUUUGGUGCUAUUUUGUUGGUUUCGAACACCGAAGUAAUGAUUAACUGAGACAGUCAGGGGCACUCGUAUUCC